rnacentral:rRNA from 1 species
GACGAACGCUGGCGGCGUGCUUAACACAUGCAAGUCGAGCGGAAAGGCCCUGCUUUUGUUCGUUGCUCGAGUGGCGAACACGUGAGUAACACGUGAGUAACCUGCCCUUGACUUUCGGAUAACUUCAGGAAACUCCGGCUAAUACCGGAUAGAAGCUCCUGCUGCAUGUUGGUCGUUGGAAAGUUUCGGCUGUUGUGUAUGGACUCGCUGCUUAUCAGCUUGUUGGUAGGGUAGUUGCUUACCAAGGCUUUGACGGGUAGCCGGCCUGAGAGGGUGACCGGCCACAAGGGGACUAAGAGACGGAGCAGAAGCGUACGGGACGCAACAGGGGGGAAUAUUGCAGAAUGGCGGGAAGCGUGAUGUAGAAACGCUGGGAGCGGGAUGACGGCCUUCGGGUGGUAAACCGAUUUCGCAUGAGAUGAAGAGGGAGUGACGGUAAUGGGUAAAGAAGCAACGGCUAACUACGUG